rnacentral:rRNA from 1 species
AGCAGCCGCGGUAAUUCCAGCUCCAAUAGCGUAUAUUAAAGUUGUUGCAGUUAAAAAGCUCGUAGUUGAAUUUCGGGAUUGACACAUCGGUCGUGCCUUAAGGGGUAUGAACUGGUGUAGUCAAUUUCUCACCUUCUGGAGAACCGCGAUGCCCUUAAUUGGGUGUCGCGGGGAACCAGGACCUUUACUUUGAAAAAAUUAGAGUGUUUAAAGCAGGCAUUUUGCUUGAAUACAUUAGCAUGGAAUAAUAAAAUAGGACGGCAUGAUUCUAUUUUGUUGGUUUCUAGGAUCACCGUAAUGAUUAAUAGGGAUAGUUGGGGGCAUUAGUAUUCAAUUGUCAGAGGUGAAAUUCUUGGAUUUAUUGAAGACUAACUACUGCGAAAGCAUUUGCCAAGGAUGUUUUCAUUAAUCAAGAACGAAAGUUAGGGGAUCGAAGACGAUCAGAUACCGUCGUAGUCUUAACCAUAAACUAUGCCGACUAGGAAUCAGACGAUGUUAAUUUUUAAUGACUCGUUUGGCG